AUGAUUGUUUUUUUCCUAAAGCACAUUUUUCGGUGGUUUCGCUCUUUCCCGAGGAGGAGAGCCACAGCUACGUGCCCCUGUAACCAAGCUGGGCUGAACCACAUCCACAAGUCCUGUGGGCAUAGAGACUGGGAACACUUGGACCUCCUUCAGGACAGGCCCGAAGGCGCUAGAGGGCCGCAAGAGGAAAGACAACUGCCUCAAAGCACAGAUGAGCUCAUCGACUCACCUGGGCAGGUAAGUGCAGAACCUGGACAGUGCUUUAGUGGGAGUGCAUCGUGUUUGGAGGAAAUGAUGUCACGGUGUGCUAGGCGGGGUAGGGGGGACAGGAACACCUUUAAAGGGCUCAUCUUUCCCACAGCCUGUUCAGCAUUCGCUCUGCCCCUGGCACAUCCAGAAGCCCCUGCACAAUGUGGGUACGAUGUGUUGAUGUCAACAGUUUUGCUGGAACCCACAGAUCCAUAAAGCUGCUAACAAGAACACGGAACAAGGUGUUAACGUGGGCGGUGGGUGGAGGUUUAGGACAGUAAGUGUCCUGAGAGAGGGGCGAGAACAGGAAGUCUCAGAGAGCCUCCCUGAGGAGCAGCCUUUGAGAGGGGCUUAGAUCACUCAUAGCCCCAAGUCGCACUUGGCCCAGUUCAAUUAUUAAAGCAUAACAUAGGGGCGCCUGGGUGGCUCAGUCAACUAAGCGGUUGCCUUCGGCUCGGGUCACAAUCCUGAGGUCCUGGGAUCGAGCCCCACAUUGGGCCCCCGGCUCAGCGGAGAGUCUGCUUCUCCCUCUCCCUCUACCUCUCUCUCCACUCAUGCUCUCUAUCUCUCUCCCUCUCAAAUAAAUAUAUAAAAUCUUUUUUAAAAAGAGAGAGAGGGACACCUGGGUCACUCAGUGGUUGAGUGUCUGCCUUCGACUCAGGGCAUGAUCCUGGGGUCCGGGAUCGGGUCCCACAUCGGGCUCCCCAUAGGGAGCCUGCUUCUCCCUCUGCCGGUGUCUCUGCCUCUCUCUCUCUCUCUCUCUCCCUGUGUCUCUCAUGAAUAAAUAAAUAAAAUCUUUAAAAAAAAAAGAGAGAGAGAGAGUAAGUGGAGCAGCAGGCAGAGGGAGAGGGAGACAUAUCUAUAUGAAUUUUUUAAAAAGAUGUAUUUAUUUAUUUGUGAUAGACAUAGAGAGAGAGAGAGAGAGAGAGGCAGAGACACGGGAGGAGGGAGAAGCAGGCUCCAUGCCGGGAGCCCGAUGCAGGACUCGAUCCCGGGACUCCAGGAUCGCGCCUUGGGCCAAAGGCAGGUGCCAAACCGCUGAGGCACCCAGGGAUCACUAUAUGAAUUUUCACAAAGUCCACAUACUCAUAUAAAACACCGUGAUCAAAUUUCAGAAUAUUUCCAGACCACAGAAGCCCCGCACGUCCCUUCCGGGUCACCAGCCACCCUCCAAAGUGUUGCCACCAUGCUGACCUCUAACAGCACAGGUGAGUUGUGCAUCCUCUGUUUUAACCCCAUCAGCCUUAGGCUCAGUAGGUGUCAUGUGCUGGGGGCGCCUGGGAGGCUCAGAUGGUUAAGCCUCCGCCUCCAGCCCAGGUCGUCAUCUCCAGGUUCCCGGAUGGAGCACAUGUCGGGCUCCCAGCUCAGCGGGGAAUCUGCUCCUCCCUCCCCUCUGUCUCUCCCCCUGCUUGUGCUCUCUCUGUCUCUUUCUGAAACGAAUAAAUAAGAAAUCUUAAAAAAAAAAAAAAAAUCGGACUGGCUGCAACAUGCCUCCCCACCCCCACCCAGCGCUGACCCCAGAGCAGAAGGAGCUUUUUUUUUUUUUUUUAAGAUUAUUUAUUUAUUCAUGAGAGACAGAGAGACAGAGAGAGGCAGAGACCCAGGCAGUGGGAGAAGAAGCAGGCCCCAUGCAAAGAGCCGGACGCGGGACUCGAUCCCGGGACCCCAGGAUCAGGCCCCGGGCUGCAGGCGGCGCUAAACCGCGGCCCCCGGGCUGCCCGGGAGGAGCUCUCCGGCGUGGCUCCCGGCGCCGCCCCGGGCAAGGGCAUCCUGGCUGCAGAGAACACGGAGGAGGGAAGUCAUCAAAUCCAAGGUGUCGUAGGCAUCAAGGGGGACCAAGGUGGGGCGCCUCCCGGCAGGAUCAAACGGCCAGACUACCCCCCAAGGGCUGGAUGGGCUGAGCGCUGUGCCCAGUACAGGAAGGACGGGGCUGACUGUGCCAAGUGGGCUGCGUGCUGAAGAGUGGGGAACACACCCCCUCAGGCCUUGCCAUCAUGGAAAAUGCCAGUGUCCGGGCCGUUCUGCCAGCAUCUGCCAGCAGAAUGGCAUCGUGCCCCUUGUGGAGCCUGAGAUCCUCCCCGAUGCGGACCAUGACUUGAAGCGGUCAGUAUGGAACCGAGAAGGUGCUGGCUGCUGUCUACAAGGCCCUGAGUGCCCACCACAUCUAGGAAGGCACCUUGCUGAAGCCCAAUGUGGUAACCCCAGGCCACGCCUGCACCCAUAAAUAUUCUCACGAGGAGAUUGCCAUGGCAACUGUCACAGCACUGCCCCCGCUGUUACUGGGAUCACCUUCCUAUCUGGAGGCCAGAGUGAGGAGGGGGCAUCCAUCAACCUCAGGGACAUCCACAAGUGGUCCCCCAUCCCCCCACCCCCCCACCCCCCCCACCCCUGGCUGAAGCCAUGGGCUCUGACCUUCUUCUAUGGCCCAGCCCCGCAGGCUUCUGCCCUGAAGGCCCAGGGUGGAAAGAAGGAGAACCUGAAGCCUGCCCAGGAGGAGUGUAUCGGGGGCCCUGGCCAACAGCCUCACCUGUCAAGGCAAGUACACCCCAAGUGGUCAGGCCGGGGCUGCAGCCAGCGAGUCCCUCUUCAUCUCUAACCCUGCCUACUAAGCCGAGGUGUUCUAAGGCUGCCCCCUCAACACUCCAGCCCCCGCCCCCUCCCACACUCACUCUUGAAGAGAGGGCCUCACCUGGGGCUCCAGGCUGCUCUUUCCCAUCACUUUGGCCUCCCACGUGACAUUGGUGGGUGGUGUUGUCUGUACAUGCUAACUCCAUUGCUCUUUCCAGCCCCCUGCCAAUAAACAACUAUUUAAGGGGGGGAAAAAUAAAUAAAUAAAAUAAAUAAAUAAUCGUGUGCUGGUUGAUUAAAAUCCUUUCCAAGUAUUAGUUCCCUUGCUAAUACUU
rnacentral:lncRNA from 1 species